rnacentral:rRNA from 1 species
UUCCUUUUUUUAAAGGAAGUUUUGGGUUUGACAACGAUGAAGACCGAAGCAAAAUUUGAUAAAUAAUGUGAAAUGCCGGGUUUUGGGAAUCAUCAAGUUGUUGAACCCCCCCUGCCCCCCUGGGUCCCCACCGGGGGUCUCGGGGGUCCGGGGGG